rnacentral:rRNA from 1 species
GACGAACGCUGGCGGCGUGCUUAACACAUGCAAGUCGAGCGGUAAGGCCCUUUUGGGGGUACGACGAGCGGCGAACGGGUGAGUAACACGUGGGUGACCUGCCCUCAGCUCUGGGAUAAGCCUGGGAAACCGGGUCUAAUACUGGAUAUGACUCCAUGACGCAUGUUGUGGGGUGGAAAGCCUUGUGCGGCUGAGGAUGGGCCCGCGGCCUAUCAGCUUGUUGGUGGGGUGAGGCCUACCAAGGCGACGACGGGUAGCCGGCCUGAGAGGGCGACCGGCCACACUGGGACUGAGACACGGCCCAGACUCCUACGGGAGGCAGCAGUGGGGAAGUCUUGCGCAAUGGGCGAAAGCCUGACGCAGCGACGCCGCGUGAGGGAUGACGGCCU